rnacentral:misc_RNA from 1 species
AAAUAACCAAAAAAAAAAAAAAACUACUUGAUUUGAGAUCGAUGCAAUGCAAUUUCCUUGUUUUAGUCCUUAAAUUCUAUGCUUUUGUGUACAUGUCUGACGCCUCUAUCGGAUUUACUUCACAUCACCAAAUGGGUAUUAAAGGAUAAGAUAGCCAUCUAACUGUUGUAUUCUUGUUUUCGGAAACCAUUUUUUAUUUUUUUAUUUUUUUAACUUUGAAUACCACCGAAACUUAUAUUGAGAGGCUAGAAGAGUAUAUCAAUUCCUACAAAAAUGUUAUCGAAGAAAUUAAUUAUGACAUUAGAUUUUAUAAAAGUCAAUUACUAUCUCUAUGUCAUUGGAUAGACAAUUAUAGCUAUAAACAUGAUUGUGAAACGUGUUCUUUCUUACGUGGUGAAUACACAACUCAACUCAACUAAGCCUUU